rnacentral:rRNA from 1 species
UGUGGUCAAGUUAGUAAGGGCUGGCGGGGGAUGCCUAGGCGCGCAGAGGCGAUGAAGGACGUGGCUAGCUGCGAAAAGCUUCGGUGAGGUGCUUAACGACCUUUGACCCGAAGAUGUCCGAAUGGGGAAACCUGUAUAUCCUGUGCUGAAUCCAUAGGCACAGCGAGGCCGACCCGGGGAAGUGAACCAUCUCAGUACCCGGAGGAAAGGAAAUCAAAAGAGACUCCGCUAGUAGCGGCGAGCGAACGCGGAUCAGGGCAAACCGGGGGGAUUCGUCCCCUCGGGGUUGUAGGACUCCAAGGUGGGACCAUGGAGGCUAGUGGAAGCGCUUGGAAAGGCGCCCGAGACAGGGUGAUAGGCCCGUACACGAAAGUCGAAAUGGCCCUAGGAUGUUCCUGAGUACCACAGGGCACGUGAAACCCGGUGGGAAGCUGGGGGGACCACCCUCCAACCCUAAGUACUACUGCGCGACCGAUAGUGAACGAGUACCGUGAGGGAAAGGUGAAAAGUACCCCGGUUAGGGGAGUGAAAUAGUACCUGAAACCGCCAGCUUACAAGC